UACGUAGGUGGCAAGCGUUGUCCGGAAUUACUGGGCGUAAAGCGUGCGUAGACGGUUAUGUAAGUUAGGUGUGAAAGCCCCGGGCUCAACCUGGGAAUUGCAUUUAAGACUGCAUAGCUAGGGUGCGGAAGAGGGAAGCGGAAUUUCCGGUGUAGCGGUGAAAUGCGUAGAUAUCGGAAGGAACAUCAGUGGCGAAAGCGGCUUCCUGGUCCAGCACCGACGUUCAGGCACGAAAGCGUGGGGAGCAAACAGG
rnacentral:rRNA from 1 species